UCCACAAGCCACUGUCAUGAUGCUGGGCAGGUACAUGGGACAAAGGAUUCUGAAUGAGAGAGAUUCCCAAUGCAAUGAAGCGGUAGAAGAUUGACAGACAAGACCGGAUUAUCCAUUUACUGCUUUUGUUUUCUUUUAUACUCCUAUAUAAUAUAACUGAUCAUGUUAGCGGUGGGGAUAUGUCCGGAAUUGAGAACUUAAUGAUUUGCUGCUGCUCUGUUAAUCUGAUGACAGGCUGUUUUUUCA